rnacentral:rRNA from 1 species
CCCAGACUCCUACGGGAGGCAGCAGUGAGGAAUAUUGGUCAAUGGGCGCAAGCCUGAACCAGCCAAGUCGCGUGAGGGAUGACGGUCCUAUGGAUUGUAAACCUCUUUUGUCGGGGAGCAAGGCCCGCCACGUGUGGCGGGAAGGAGAGUACCCGAAGAAAAAGCAUCGGCUAACUCCGUGCCAGCAGCCGCGGUAAUACGGAGGAUGCGAGCGUUAUCCGGAUUUAUUGGGUUUAAAGGGUGCGUAGGCGGAAGGUUAAGUCAGGGGUCAAAUGUCGGUGCUCAACACCGGCCUGCCGUUGAAACUGGUCUUCUUGAGUGAGCGAGAAGUAUGCGGAAUGCGUGGUGUAGCGGUGAAAUGCAUAGAUAUCACGCAGAACUCCGAUUGCGAAGGCAGCAUACCGGCGCUCAACUGACGCUGAGGCACGAAAGCGUGGGGAUCGAACAGGAUUAGAUACCCGCG